GACGAACGCUGGCGGCGUGCUUAACACAUGCAAGUCGAACGGAAAGGCCCUGCUUUUGUGGGGUGCUCGAGUGGCGAACGGGUGAGUAACACGUGAGUAACCUGCCCUUGACUUUGGGAUAACUUCAGGAAACUGGGGCUAAUACCGGAUAGGAGCUCCUGCUGCAUGGUGGGGGUUGGAAAGUUUCGGCGGUUGGGGAUGGACUCGCGGCUUAUCAGCUUGUUGGUGGGGUAGUGGCUUACCAAGGCUUUGACGGGUAGCCGGCCGGAGAGGGUGACCGGCCACAUUGGGACUGAGAUAAGGCCCAGACUCCUACGGGAGGAAGCAGUGGGGAAUAUUGCACAAUGGGCGGAAGCCUGAUGCAGCAACGCCGCGUGCGGGAUGACGGCCUUCGGGUUGUAAACCGCUUUCGCCUGUGACGAAGCGUGAGUGACGGUAAUGGGUAAAGAAGCACCGGCUAACUACGUG
rnacentral:rRNA from 1 species